AACGAACGCUGGCGGCAUGCCUAACACAUGCAAGUCGAACGAGACCUUCGGGUCUAGUGGCGCACGGGUGCGUAACGCGUGGGAACCUGCCCUUAGGUUCGGAAUAACUCCCCGAAAGGGGUGCUAAUACCGGAUAAUGUCUUCGGACCAAAGAUUUAUCGCCUUUGGAUGGGCCCGCGUUGGAUUAGCUAGUUGGUAGGGUAAAAGCCUACCAAGGCGACGAUCCAUAGCUGGUCUGAGAGGAUGAUCAGCCACACUGGGACUGAGACACGGCCCAGACUCCUACGGGAGGCAGCAGUGGGGAAUAUUGGACAAUGGGCGAAAGCCUGAUCCAGCAAUGCCGCGUGAGUGAUGAAGGCAUUAGGGUUGUAAAGCUCUUUUACCCGGGAUGAUAAUGACAGUACCGGGAGAAUAAGCUCCGACUAACUCCGUG
rnacentral:rRNA from 1 species